rnacentral:rRNA from 1 species
AUGGGAGAUCACCAAAUAGCUGAGAUCUUGGUGAUGGAAGGAGCUGGGAUCAGAAAGCAUAUCAUCGUUGACAACUUCAUUAGCAGGUAUGGCUCGUAUGAUAAGUGUGGGUUUCUGAGACGAGACGUGUACAAUCUAUGUUGCCGAGAAAAAAUGAAGCUGAUUCCGAAGGGUGAUGCUAACACGGCAAUCGGGAUUAUGAGGAGCAGAAAGGAGAAGGAUCCAGAGUUUUUCUUUGAGUACGUGCUCGAUAAGGAGGGCCGUUUGAAGAGCAUGUUCUGGUGCGAUGCACAGUCGCGGCGGGACUAUCAAUUGUAUGGAGAUGUGACGGUGUUCGACAGCACGUAUAAGAUGAACAGAUAUGGUAUGCCGUUCAUCCCCUUUGUUGGUGUAAACAAUCACCGGUGCACCAUAGUUUUUGGUUGUGCCAUUGUGUCCGACGAGACCGAAGCGACGUACGUGUGGCUGCUUCAGACAUUCCUGAAGGCCAAUUGUCAGAAAAAGCCAAGGUCAAUCAUCACAGAUGGAGACGCUGCAAUGAUACGAGCUAUUCGGUUGGUUUUGGUUGAUGUGUUGCACCGUCUCUGCUCAUGGCACGUGGAAAAAAACAUGCAGAAGCACAUUAAUUACAAAUCGCUAAGUGAGUUCAGGGCACUCUUGUACUACUCCACCUCUCCAGCCAACUUUGAGGCGAGAUGGCACGCUUUCGUCCGUAAAUGGAAGACUGAUAAAACAGAAGAGUGGCUGAGUAGGAUGUACAGGAAGAGGAGUCUGUGGGCAGCAUCAUAUCUGUCAGAUGGUUUUUUUCUGGGUAUGCGCAGUAAUCAAAGGAGUGAAAGUCUUAACUCUUGUCUUCACCUGCACUUGGACGGUGCUAUGACUAUUGUUGACCUAGUUGUGCAUUAUGAGAAUUGCAUAGUCCGACAACGUGAGAACGAGGCGCAUGAUGACUGUGUUUCAAAUCAGUCAUUGCCACCAUCAGUCACAGAAUAUAAGGAUAUUGAGAAGCAUGCCGCCAAAGUAUUCACUCAUUCCAAUUUUUAUAUUCUUCAACAAGAUCUGAAGAAGAUGGGAGAACUUGAGAUUUUUGAGACACUAGUGGGAGUUGACUGCCACACCUUCAUCGUGACAUGGAGAAAUAACCGGAAAUUUCAGUUCAGCGUGAAUUAUCGAGCUGAAAACUCUGAGAAUACGAUAGACUGCAGUUGUGGACGAAUGCUUCGGAAAGGAUUGCCUUGCAAACACAUUCUGUAUGUGUUGGUUCAUCUUAAAAAAUCUAAAAUACCUAAGUGUUGCAUCCUUAAGAGGAUGUCGAAAGUUGGGAGAGGUGGGCUGCCUGCACAGCGAAAGAGUGACUUGUUUGGCUGGGGUUGGACAGGGGCAGAGCAGCGUGCUCGCUAUAGUCAACUUAGUAUAACAGGAGCUGAAGCUUUUCAUGUUGCUUCAAAUGAUCCAUUCGUCUAUGAUGAGUUGAUGCAGUGUCUGCAGAAUAUAAUAGCAAAGAAGAAGGUCCCUGAUGAUGAUGCUGUUGGUAGUACAAGAAAUGUGCAUGAGGAUCCACGUCAGCCGGAACAACAUGUUGAUGUCAUAGGUGAUCCCGUGAAAGUUUCCACGAAGGGCGCCCCUAAACAGAGCAGAACAGGGCGGGCAAAGAAAGAUCCAAAUGUUACAAAGAAUGGAAGACCAAAAUCAUUUUCUGAGAAAAAAGCCGGUCCUCUUUGUGGCAUUUGUAAGAAAGAGGGCCAUAGACGGCAAACGUGCCCUGAGAAUGAAAAGAACCGGGCAUAA